rnacentral:rRNA from 1 species
CCUACGUGAGGCAGCAGUGAGGAAUAUUGGUCAAUGGACGAGAGUCUGAACCAGCCAAGCAGCGUGAAGGAUGAAUGCCCUGUGGAUUGUAAACUUCUUUUAUAAAGGAAUAAAACGAGGCACGUGUGCCUUUUUGCAGGUACUUUAUGAAUAAGGAUCGGCUAACUCCGUGCCAGCAGCCGCGGUAAUACGGAGGAUCCGAGCGUUAUCCGGAUUUAUUUGGUUUAAAGGGAGCGUAGAUGGGUUGUUAAGUCAGUUGUGAAAGUUUGCGGCUCAAACGUAAAAUUGCAAUUGAUACUGGCGGUCUUGAGUACAGUAGAGGUAGGCGGAAUUCGUGGUGUAGCGGUGAAAUGCUUAGAUAUCACGAAGAACCCCGAUUGCGAAGGCAGCGUACCAACCUGUGACUGACAUUGAUGCUCGAAAGUGUGGGUAUCGAACAGGAUUAGAUACCCUUGUAGUC